rnacentral:rRNA from 1 species
GACAGAGGGUGCAAACGUUGUUCGGAAUUACUGGGCGUAAAGCGUGUGUAGGCGGUUCGGCAAGUCGGAUGUGAAAGCCCCGGGCUCAACCCGGGAAGUGCACUCGAUACUGCCGGACUGGAGUGUCGGAGAGGUUGGUGGAAUUCUCGGUGUAGAGGUGAAAUUCGUAGAUAUUCGGAAGAACACCAGUGGCGAAGGCGACUUACUGGACACAUAUUGACGCUGAGGUGCGAAAGCGUGGGGGAGCAAACAGG